UACAUAAAUACAAUCAAAUCAAACUCAAGUACAAUAGAUAGAGCAAAGGGAAAGAUGUAGAGAGCAGAAUAUAUUUCUUAGCAUUGUAGCCCAUCAGUUCCAGAAACAAAGGAAUAGAAACAUAGAAAAUAGGUGCAGGAGGAGGC